rnacentral:lncRNA from 1 species
GAAUACAAGGAAAGAUUAAACGCAUGAGUUUCACUUGUUAGGGUCACACAGAUAAUUGUAUUCCAAACCACUAUAAUACUAAGAAAUACUACAAUGCUUCCUCUCAGUAACAAUACUCCUUUAUCAAUUGAUAACUACAAUGUACAAUCCUGCACUCUCAAAAGACAGUCCAAAACUCAAUAAAUUCCAUCCAAUACUAAGAAUAACAGACUUCACUCUAACCAUCUUAAAUUCACAAAAUUCUUGUAAUCAUAGACUUCCUCUGUCGAAAUACACAUACACAACUCUCAAUAAACAACAAUCAUAAUCUUCCAUCCAUAAUCAAUCUUCUAAUAACUUCUCAUAUAAUUCAAUCACUCAGUACUCCAAUUACAUAAUCAAUAACUCAUAAAUCAAUCUUUGAUUUAUUCCAGAGACUCACAACUCAAUAUUCAGAAACUAUCCAUUACUCUU